rnacentral:rRNA from 1 species
ACAAGUCGCACGGUCAGCAAUGGCAGUGGCGGACGGGUGAGUAACGCGUAGGAAUAUGUCCAGAGGUGGGGGACAACCCCGGGAAACUGGGGCUAAUACCGCAUAUGAGCUGAGGCUCAAAGCAGUGAUGCGCCUUUGGAGUAGCCUGCGUCCGAUUAGCUUGUUGGUGGGGUAAUGGCCUACCAAGGCGACGAUCGGUAGCUGGUCUGAGAGGACGACCAGCCACACUGGGACUGAGACACGGCCCAGACUCCUACGGGAGGCAGCAGUGGGGAAUAUUGGACAAUGGGCGCAAGCCUGAUCCAGCAAUUCCGCGUGGGUGAAGAAGGUCUUCGGAUUGUAAAGCCCUUUCGACGGGGACGAUGAUGACGGUACCCGUAGAAGAAGCCCCGGCUAACUUCGUGCCAGCAGCCGCGGUAAUACGAAGGGGGCUAGCGUUGCUCGGAAUUACUGGGCGUAAAGGGCGCGUAGGCGGCUUAGUUAGUCAGGCGUGAAA